UACGAAGGGGGCUAGCGUUGCUCGGAAUCACUGGGCGUAAAGCGCACGUAGGCGGAUUGCUAAGUCAGGGGUGAAAUCCUGGAGCUCAACUCCAGAACUGCCUUUGAUACUGGCGACCUUGAGUUCGGGAGAGGUGAGUGGAACUGCGAGUGUAGAGGUGAAAUCGUUAGAUAUUCGCAAGAACACCAGUGGCGAAGGCAGCCAUCUGGACCGACACUGACGCUGAGGCGCGAAAGCGUGGGGAGCAAACAGG
rnacentral:rRNA from 1 species